GAAGAGUUUGAUCAUGGCUCAGAUUGAACGCUGGCGGCAGGCCUAACACAUGCAAGUCGAACGGUAACAGGAAGCAGCUUGCUGCUUUGCUGACGAGUGGCGGACGGGUGAGUAAUGUCUGGGAAACUGCCUGAUGGAGGGGGAUAACUACUGGAAACGGUGGCUAAUACCGCAUAACGUCGCAAGACCAAAGAGGGGGACCUUCGGGCCUCUUGCCAUCAGAUGUGCCCAGAUGGGAUUAGCUUGUUGGUGAGGUAACGGCUCACCAAGGCGACGAUCCCUAGCUGGUCUGAGAGGAUGACCAGCCACACUGGAACUGAGACACGGUCCAGACUCCUACGGGAGGCAGCAGUGGGGAAUAUUGCACAAUGGGCGCAAGCCUGAUGCAGCCAUGCCGCGUGUAUGAAGAAGGCCUUCGGGUUGUAAAGUACUUUCAGCGGGGAGGAAGGUGUUGUGGUUAAUAACCGCAGCAAUUGACGUUACCCGCAGAAGAAGCACCGGCUAACUCCGUGCCAGCAGCCGCGGUAAUACGGAGGGUGCAAGCGUUAAUCGGAAUUACUGGGCGUAAAGCGCACGCAGGCGGUCUGUCAAGUCGGAUGUGAAAUCCCCGGGCUCAACCUGGGAACUGCAUUCGAAACUGGCAGGCUUGAGUCUUGUAGAGGGGGGUAGAAUUCCAGGUGUAGCGGUGAAAUGCGUAGAGAUCUGGAGGAAUACCGGUGGCGAAGGCGGCCCCCUGGACAAAGACUGACGCUCAGGUGCGAAAGCGUGGGGAGCAAACAGGAUUAGAUACCCUGGUAGUCCACGCCGUAAACGAUGUCUACUUGGAGGUUGUGCCCUUGAGGCGUGGCUUCCGGAGCUAACGCGUUAAGUAGACCGCCUGGGGAGUACGGCCGCAAGGUUAAAACUCAAAUGAAUUGACGGGGGCCCGCACAAGCGGUGGAGCAUGUGGUUUAAUUCGAUGCAACGCGAAGAACCUUACCUGGUCUUGACAUCCACAGAACUUUCCAGAGAUGGAUUGGUGCCUUCGGGAACUGUGAGACAGGUGCUGCAUGGCUGUCGUCAGCUCGUGUUGUGAAAUGUUGGGUUAAGUCCCGCAACGAGCGCAACCCUUAUCCUUUGUUGCCAGCGGUCCGGCCGGGAACUCAAAGGAGACUGCCAGUGAUAAACUGGAGGAAGGUGGGGAUGACGUCAAGUCAUCAUGGCCCUUACGACCAGGGCUACACACGUGCUACAAUGGCGCAUACAAAGAGAAGCGACCUCGCGAGAGCAAGCGGACCUCAUAAAGUGCGUCGUAGUCCGGAUUGGAGUCUGCAACUCGACUCCAUGAAGUCGGAAUCGCUAGUAAUCGUGGAUCAGAAUGCCACGGUGAAUACGUUCCCGGGCCUUGUACACACCGCCCGUCACACCAUGGGAGUGGGUUGCAAAAGAAGUAGGUAGCUUAACCUUCGGGAGGGCGCUUACCACUUUGUGAUUCAUGACUGGGGUGAAGUCGUAACAAGGUAACCGUAGGGGAACCUGCGGUUGGAUCACCUCCUUA
rnacentral:rRNA from 1 species